rnacentral:rRNA from 1 species
GUUUGCGACCAAAUUAAUACUUGACUUGGAUUACAAAAAACACAUAUAUCAAGGAGGCAAAAAUAAUGCUCUUUUGCAAAUGUUAUUUUCAUCAUAAUGCAAAUAUUUGUUGGGCACCACCGAGAAGGAACGACAACAAAUGCGUAAAGAGAUACUUGCAACUAGAUAGAUAUUUAUAUUGUCUAAAUUGGAAACACCUUGAAUACACUUUAAAAAUCAUCACGUCUUUAUGUUUUUGCGCAACAUCACUUAUCAUUUUGUUUUUCAUGUGACAUCGUUCACGAUUUCAAGAGAUUUACUGAUGUCUCGAGAGUGUGUAUGAAAUGUGAUUUUUUUCGCUCCCGUUGCAACGCACGGGCUUGUUUGCUAGUAAUAAUAAAGCAAAUUCGGUUUCUGUCGUCCAUCGUCGGCUUUUUUGCAUUAAAGUCCCUUUUUCUGAGAAUUCAACCCGCAGUCCCUUUUUAAGUUGCUAUCUCAGAAAACAUUUCGUUAUUACAAAAAGAACCCUGCCGUUUUGAGAAUUCAACCCGCGGUCCCCCUGGAAAGAAAAAAAAACCUAGCCACACGAACGACCCAUGAACCCCAAUCUCAUCCACCUCCAGCGCCGCCACGCCCUGCAACGCCGCCGCGCGCCGCCGAACUCCGCCCCGUCGUCGCCCCGCCGGAAUCCGCCGGAACUCGACCCGCCGUCGCGCCGCCACUCGAGCCUAGCUUCUGGAUCGGGUCAACGCGGUGGCUCGAGCGGCUGGGGGCGGCGCGGUGGCUCGAGCGAAGCCGGCGGCUGGAGAUUGCAAGGGCCAGAUUCAUGCGCGGCAGGGGCUGGGGAGGCGUAUUCGGAGGCGGGCGGCUCGACGGGAGGCUCCUUCCGCCGCUGCCACCCGCCUGAUUCACCUCGCCGUGUUCUUUCCCGAUUUACCUGAUGGACAACACGGGCGUCCAUGAGCGGCGGUUGCAGGUGACGACCCGCUCUCUUCUCUUCCGAUUCGCCUAUAGGGGCCGAUCCUUGCUUUCACCAGAUCCGACGGCCGGGCACACGCGUGGGGAUGUGGCAUCUAGGAUGGCCGGGCCGAGCCACUGUCACCGGGAGGUCGAGGAGGGAGGGUGGGUGGAGCCGGAUGAUGUAGAUCGAGGAUGCGCCGCACCGGGCCUCCUUUGAAGGAAGCGGAGGGGCAAGGCGCCGCGCAGGAGUCACGGGUUUGGCCAUGGGAGCACAGCCGCCCCGGAUCUGCCACAAAGAGACGCACCGACGCGCGUACGGAGCGCUGAGCUGACCGCCACGAGGGGGCGCACGCAACGGGCCAGCCGGGAGGCGACGAGAAGCCCCGCCCGGCGCCACCGCCACGACGGAGGCUUCGCAUGGUGGUGGCCUCCGGACUCCGAUGACGGCGAGGGGGAGGAGCUGGAGAUGGGGUUGCUGGUAGCGGCGCACUACCGGGGGAAGCGGCCUGUGGGGUAGUCGCCAGGGUUUCCAGUGAUAGCUCGUCAACAGUCGCCACUCGUCAGGCCGGCUGGAAGCAACGGGUGCUCGGCAGGGAUGCGAGAGCGGAGAGAUGGAGAGAUAGAAUAGAACGAGAGCGGUGGAGGUGGAGACGAAUGGAUAAGCUUUGAAGCAUGGCCUCUCUAGAGCGAGGUACACGUGACGUGAUGGAUGGUGUACGUGUCGGCUCGAACUAAC